rnacentral:misc_RNA from 1 species
GAUGAAGAACGUAGCGAAAUGCGAUAAGUAAUGUGAAUUGCAGAAUUCAGUGAAUCAUCGAAUCUUUGAACACACAUUGCGCCCGCCAGUAUUCUGGCGGGCAUGCCUGUUCGAGCGUCAUUACAACCCUCAGGCCCCCGGGCCUGGCGUUGGGGAUCGGCGGAAGCCCCCUGUGGGCACACGCCGUCCCUCAAAUACAGUGGCGGUCCCGCCGCAGCUUCCAUUGCGUAGUAGCUAACACCUCGCAACUGGAGAGCGGCGCGGCCAUGCCGUAAAACACCCAACUUCUGAAUGUUGACCUCGAAUCAGGUAGGAAUACCCGCUGAACUUAAGCAUAUCAAUAAGCGGAGGA